GUGGGGAAUUUUGGACAAUGGGCGCAAGCCUGAUCCAGCAAUGCCGCGUGCAGGAAGAAGGCCUUCGGGUUGUAAACUGCUUUUGUACGGAACGAAACGGUCCUGGCUAAUAUCCGGGGCUAAUGACGGUACCGUAAGAAUAAGCACCGGCUAACUACGUGCCAGCAGCCGCGGUAAUACGUAGGGUGCGAGCGUUAAUCGGAAUUACUGGGCGUAAAGCGUGCGCAGGCGGUGCUGUAAGACAGGCGUGAAAUACCCGGGCUCAACCUGGGAAUUGCGCUUGUGACUGCAGUGCUGGAGUGCGGCAGAGGGGGAUGGAAUUCCGCGUGUAGCAGUGAAAUGCGUAGAUAUGCGGAGGAACACCGAUGGCGAAGGCAAUCCCCUGGACCUGUACUGACGCUCAUGCACGAAAGCGUGGGGAGCAAACAGGAUUAGAAACCCGUGUAGUCC
rnacentral:rRNA from 1 species